ACAGGCCAAACUAAAUAGUGAAUUCGGCCUAACCCAAUUCUAAUUCGGGUCAGGCCCAAUGCCCACGAAAUUAAAUCUGAUUUUUUGUAACUAUUCCUUCAUACUUUAGACCAACAUAAUUCUGGAAAUUUCCAGAGAGAGAGAGAAAGGGAGUUCUUGAGAGAAAUCCCAAAUCCGACCAAAAUUCAAGUCCCGAAAUCCGAAGCUCAUGAAGAAAAAAUUGUUGUACGUCGCGUUGGCUUCAAUUUGAGCUAGAAAUCAGCCAAUAAGGAGAAGAUUUUAUGUGGUGCUGCAAAUUUAAGGUUGAGACAAUAUUGGACAACAUAUACGUAUAAACGCUAAAGGUACAGAUACUCAUUUUGGAGAGCCGCCACCUUAGGAUUCUACUCAACGGGUUGAAGUGCUCCAUUGUCUCGGAGCCUAAACCUUUGGUACUAAUCCUUAUAAUGUAUAUAUUUGUGUAUUUUGGGGGUACGGCGGGGCCCUGUCUCGUCAUAUGCUAUUGUUAAUCCUCUUAGAGGUCUGUAGACACAUGAGUGGGUUGUAUGUAGAUGUUGUCUGGUGUACUAGUAUGGCUUAUGUUUUUGGACAUUUACAUUCGGAGUGAAAGCCUUGUCGGCUUACGUAUUAUGUUAUCUUAUUUUUGACAAUUAAGACUCCCCAAGAAAUAGCUGAUUUUGGUAUAUAUAUAAGUGACCGUUUGAGACAACGUGCUACCCAUAUAAAUUCUA